GUUUUAAUAAACUCUAUUUAAGCCUGUGGAGAUUAGUGAUAAUUAACUCUAGAACCCCCCUACCUCCUUUUAUCCAAUUCUCUUUGCAGGGUGCUGCUUCUUUUUUAACCCCAGGACAGCAAGCGAUGGGAUUUCCUGACCCAGCGCUGUGGGGCAACAGCACGAGCAGCAGGAUGUCUGAAAAUCCUGCAAUAGCUCAGGGACUAAUUACCUGGAAAGGUGGAAGGUGCAAACACCUAUUAGAGUGUUUUUCACGGAGCAGAGUUGCAGGGAAACAUGAGUGGAGACCACUGCAGCUGCGUGUCUGAGAGGUUUGGUUUGAGAUUUCAGUGUUUUGGCCCCUCUCUGCUGUGGUGUGGCAGCGUGAUGGACAGCAUCAAAGCCUCUUCUCCCCGUUGUUUUUCAUUAUCAUGCAGAGCUGUGAAGCUCCUCUCGGCUGAUGGGUGCGAUUCAACACAUCCAUCGCGAGCAGAUGCGUCAGCAGGAGCAGCUAAAUGUGCCACAGUUUGUCUCAGAUGCUGCAGUUACAGAAAUAUCUUUCUUUGUAAGAUAUUUUUAAGUGAAACUACGCGCAUUUUGAUGACGGUGCUGAGACCCCUCUCCGGGGAGCAUUGGUAUUUGGGGAGCUGUCAGCUGCUUUACGACAUUACCUUGCAGUGGGAAGGAGUGGAGGGAUAAGCAGAUAUUGCCAACCAGAGAUUUUUUGGUGUUUUUUUUCUCAAGCAUUUUAUAUAAUUCCAGCAAUGGGAGAGCAAAAUCCUAGUGGUCAUGAGGGAUUCCCUGUCUGUGACCGUUCAGCAGACAGCUGUUUGAAAUUCACUGGCCUUGCAGAAGGAGAAAGCUCCACAGAAUAACUGGCGAGCUUUCUUUUCAUCUUUGAAAUCCAUAAUGCAUGUAUAUACAUAUUGUUAAUAAUUCAUAUUAAUGGAGAGCUCUUGCCCAAGAGCACAUUCCCCUAUCACAGAAAAUAAAUUGUUUAAUGAUGUCUAGGAUAGAAAUCAGAGUCUGGCUUUAAAUCCAGCUAUUACAGAACAGUACUAGACAUGCAGCGCACACAUCCAUAAACAAAUAAAUUCAUUACAGUUUAAUAACAGUGGAAAUAAAAAAUGUAAGGUAAUUUAAAUAAUGUGCAAAAUAGGUCUAUAUUUUAUCCUAAAGCCAUAGUGCCAAGUACUCACAUUAUCAGGAAUUCUCAAUAGCCUUUAGGACUGGCCCUGGUGCAGGUAAGCAGUAAAGUAGAAUUUUAAUGUUAUUAUCUUGGCCUCAGUUUAUAGGGAGGCAAAAUUCAGUUUUGUGGUGGUAGUCAUCUGAGCUUGGGUGUUAGGUGGGAAAGAAUCUGGGAAUACUCAGUGAUGGGAUGCAGAGUGGCUUCUGGAAUUUGGGAGCAGAGGACAGGAUCUGCCACUGAGGAAAAACAGGGACUGGAGAUGUCAGUGAUGCAUUGCAGAGGUGGGAAAAAUAGUGAGGGGGAGACAGAGGACCUUACAGACUCAACCUUCACUGUAUGCAGAUAAUUGUCUGUACCCUCUGUUAGCUCAUUUAAGGAGCUUAUUUUAAUGUGUUUUAAAAUCAAAUAUAAGAUGGAAUUUAUUUCCUGCUUGGGAUUGGGUAAUAACGGCAGACUCGGUACAACAACCACAUUUACCCAGUCAGUGCUCUGUUUAAGCAGUAAUAAGUUGGUAAUGGUUUGGCUUGAACUCUGUGUAUUCUCAGUUACAUCAUUUGUAUCUGGGUGAGCUGCUCUGAGUAUGUUUUUCUAGCCUGAACUAGUCUCUGUCAGUAAGUUUUUGGUUCUAUGAAGUUUAACUCAGAAAUCUCAAGCCAAGGUCUGGAUUUUGAAUUCAGGAUAUUCAACUGGGCCUACGUUUGACAGCAUUUUGAGUCUUAUGGGACUUUCUGGAGCCAUUAAAUGGUUCUGGGUGUGCUUUUUGGGCCUGAACGAGAAUAAUUUUGAAUUUUCUCUUUCCAAAAACCUACCACAUGGAUCAUCAGCUUCAUGGACUCAGUCACUUCCUUGUAGUUUUAUUGUACCAAGCAUAACAUAUUUGUGUACAAAUAGCCACAAAUAGGAUCUCAUCCAAUUAUUUUCCUAGAAAAUCUCACCAUACCAAGUGAGUGUGUUCACCAUACCAUCCUAGAGUAACUGAAUUUGGUAAUUUUAGAAUUGCAGGCUAUAUUGUUUUUCUUUUGAAGUCUGUGCCAUGAUUUGCACAUUCAUCCUCCUUUUGCAGGCAGAGAAAAUUUUGAGAGCUGGCUUUCUCGUUAUUUGUCAAAGGGAAUUAAUUUUACAUUCAAUAAUACAUUUUUUCUUUCAUGUCAUCCAGAAAUUUUAAUAUACUUGCUCUGUUAUACAAUAAGAAAAUGACUAUUUAUCCCAAUAGGUAUUUUUUGAGGAGAAAAAAAAAAAAGAACCUUUGCUUCUUUGAGAGUUUAAACACAAUUCUAGUUUCCUCUCAAUUCUGUGUCUUGUGAUGCUUCUUGUCAGAUUAAUGUGUUUUAAAGCUCUCGGUUGGUACCUGAGCUGUCAAAAAGGAAGAUUAAAAACACACCUUUCUUUCUGGGGAUUUGUUUUGCAUUGCAAAAUGCAGAGGAAGAGAAAGGAAACCUUUCCUGCUCACCAUUGGCAUACAUCUGGGGCUUGCUGUCUGUGGCAUUCUGUGUAUGUUUUAGGGUUGGGAAGGAAUUUCUGUUACUGUCAGACAGCCCUGGAUAUUCACACUAGAACACAUGCAGGAUCCUGAAGUGUUUAUUAUUUUAUGAGGAGCAGAAUGUACUUGAAGACAAAAAGGAAGGGUCAUGGAUGUGAUUUUUAUCUUAGUCACAAACGUGGCAUGUGACUUGGAAAUAAUUUCUCUCUGCUUCGUUUAGAAGACUGGGACAAUUGCAGUUGCCUUCUAAUGUAGUGGAUACACAUCUUCUAAUACAGUUCAUCAAGAGAUGAAAUAUGUUUUAUUCUAAGUUUCAUGAAGUUGUCAGCUAGGAAGAGAGAAAGGUACAAUAUUUUUAAUGCUACCAAAUUCACUCUUUUCGUUUCAGAAAUUCUUUUAGGAAAAAAAAAUUACUCCGUAAAUCCUUAGCGUAUUUUUUCACGCAAACUGAAAUAAUUUCUGAAAGAAAUGCAGAGAACGCCCCAUGAACUGAAGGAAGAGGGAGGCAUUCUGCAGCAGCUCCAUUUGAUCCCAGAUUGUAAUGAGGCCAUAAACGCUGGCCAGGGUCCAUAAACGUUGCAGAGGUUUGGAGCGACAGCGUUCAGCAGUGCCACUAAUCCAGCUUUAAAUCAAGUUUUCAGAACCUGGGUCCUCGUUCCCUCUCACUCUGAGUAAUAAAGCACGUUCAGGGGAAAUGAUGCACGUGAGAAAGUGCUCCUCAUUUCCCAGGACUUGAGGAAUAAUCCAGGACCAUAUAUUUCUCUAGUGUUUCACUUAGUGUGUAAAUGAUUCAGCCAUCAUUUUGGCUGUGCACUUAUUAUAGGAAGUGCUUGAUUUUGAUCUAAUAGGUAUUCUGAAGACUUUAAAGACCAUUUUUUACAGUUCCUUAAAGUAAGAGCCUGUUCCACUCUCAGUACCCAUAAAUAACUCUCUUCUCUGUAUAUGGAUAUCUCACCAUGUCUUGCAGUCAGGUCAAUUUUUUUUCUACAAGGAGCAAGAAAAACAGUUGUAGGAAAACGGCCUGGAAGAAACAGUGAAAUCAAACAACAGCAGAUCCCUGGGUACAUGUGAUAGGUAUCUACAUUUUAAUGAGAAAUCAGACAUGUAAAAUCCAGUUCUUAAUUUACGUCUGGGCUUUUGCUUGUUGAGAUUACAGAAUAUGACAAUUUAUCCAUUUGUCCCAAAUACUAAUUAGCAAGACAAUGAGAAAAAAAACCCCAAAACAACCAAGAGGAACUGCCUUACUGUUACUAGACUGGCAGAAUUCAUAAACAGAGUGGAUUCUUUCACUGGCAUAUAAUGAAAUAAACAGGCUUGAAUCUUGAUUUAUUUAUGGUUAUGGUUGCUUGAAGUUAGUAACCUAUAGCUCAUUUUCAGUGGGUGUUUUUGUAGGUGCUGUGUAGGAAAGGACAGGCUGACAACAGAUUUUUCAGAGAUACCGUGUUAGAUUUUGCUCAUGAACAGGCAAUAUUUUGGGUUUUAUAAACAACUGGAUCUUAUAAAUAAUCAGGUGCUCGGUUUUGAUACGUCACACAAUUUUUUUUCCCCUCAGAUUGUUCUCUGAUACAGCACAAAAUAAGAAAGUCAUUGAAUUAAUUGCACAUUUUCAAAGAAGUCUUUCUUGUUACAGUGAGCGUGAUGACCAGUGAUUUUUCUGUGGGUAUGCGACAGGUCACUGCUGUGUACAGAUUUCUUCCUGACUGAAAAAUAACAACCCAAACUGUAAAUGCCUUUCUAUCAGGACACAUUGAAAGGAUGUGAAAGUACACUCCAUUGUGUGAUAUAUAAUUUCCCUUUAUCUUUCUGUCCCAGGUGGGUGUUGUGUGACAGUAUGGAGUAUGUUGCCAUAGGAAUGCUAGAAACAAGGAAGCUUAUAAACAGAAAGCAGUGUAUUUGAGUCUAACUAAAUAUCUUUUGACGUCACUUUGAUGGACAAUGUUUAAAAGGCAGAUAUUCGGAAAUAAGCUUUCUCCAGAAAAGUUAUAAAACCCUGAGGAAAAAAAACCUGGAGGGAAAAGGCAAGUAUAUUCCCAGCUGUGUGUAAAUGUGUAGCUCAGAGGGGAUUGGCAUUGUUAUCUUUUCUGCUACAACCUGCUCUACAGGAUAGAUACAGCUCCUUGUCAGCCUGUGUGUGCUACAGAGCUGAUGAGAUCUGAACAGGCUUUUCAUGCCCAUUGCCUUCUGCUCUUCAUCAGUUCUGCUCUGUCGCUGUGAAUGCUUUCCCUUGCAGCAACCUUAAUUGUUUUUUGAGGGUUUAGAAGAGUGAUCAUAAUCACAGCUGUUGUGAAUAUAACUCUGAUCUGCAAAGAGACUACACUGUAAGCAAACGUUUUCAUUUCGAACGCUUAAAUCAAUGGUUUUCAAUUACAAAUAGAGAAGCCACUAGCUGGAAAUGUUUCUUACUGGAGGGUAGAUCCUAACCCUGUUAUUUACUCACACUACCUAUUAUUCAGAUGUUCACAGUUGAAAUUGUGAGCUCUGGAAAUAGAGGAUGUGGUAUCUUAAUAAAACCAACAUUACGAGUGCAUGAUCUCUAACUAAUCAAUGGGUACUGACAAAAAGAGGCAGAUUAGGUGGCCACUUUCUCUUGCCAUAAAAUGGCAUUUGGUCUAUGAAUGAAGUGGGUAGUCUCAUUUCUCUCCUUCCUUCUUGUUGUUUCUACAGCCUUGCUGAUGCUGUGUUCAGGUUUCACGUGCUACAGAGGUUUAUUUCUACAGUAGUGUGCUGUUCGUGUCUUUGUUGCUGUUUGAACUUUUGAGGUUUAUUUUUUAUUCUCCCUCCCCACCUCCACUUACAGUAGUGUGCAAUUCUUUUAUGCCUGCAAUGCCAUGGAGAAACCACCAGGAGAGCAACCACUGAUCAUAGCAGCAUAUGAGGCGAAAUCCCAUCCCUUAAAAGAAUAUGUAGCCAGGAGCACAACUUCGUUUAAAUGACUCCACUUAAAUUCAGCUUCACAUCGUGAAAUUCAUAGUACAGAGACAAUACCAGCUGCAGAAUAAAGAUGAAAAACUCCCAGCUGAAAUAACAUCCAGACAGUGCAUUCACCCAGUGCCAAAGAGCUGGGCAUGGCUGCAGUAUAACAAAGCUCUGUACCGAGCCUGUUCAGUCUCGGGAAUAAACCUGUCACCUCUAGAGAAGACUAAGCUCCAAGACACCGACCAAGACAACAUCAUGAAACCACAGACAUGGAAUUCUACAGAGUCAUUACUGGACUUGUUUUUCAGAGCCUAAACUUUCCAUCCUGUUUCAGUAUUGCACAUGAAUUCCCUGGUAAGCCAAGUGUCUCAAACUGCAGAUCUACGAUACGUAAGCAAAGGUGAAGGUGAUAAGUGAGAAAGGUGGGUAAAUGACACUAAAAGUACAGUAAAUUCAGGUGGGCCUUGGAUUUGUGAUACUGUACAUGCUUUAGUGCUGCUUAAUAUUGAUCAGCCUGGGAGUUUUCCUUCCAGACCUGUUGCACUAUUUAUAUUCUCUGCUAUCUAAGAGGACAAGCAAAAAUCUAAAAUCUAAAAUCUUCUCAUACCGAAGAGCAGAAAAUCAGGCUUGCUUUGAUAUCCAUGUUUUAGAAAUAAAAAAAUCCAAGAACUAAAAAGAUCCACGUGAGCAUUUUCAAAGCUACAGAAUGUUCUUUCUACAGAUAAACUGAAGUCCAGUUGUUCAAACUAUCGGGAUAACAAUGGGGGUGGAAUUUAAUUUGUGUUCUGUGAGUAGUUUAAUGGUUGACAAAAAGGAGGGAUGGUGAAAGGGCCUCUAAUUUUCCAGGGAACAGCAUGACAUAUUCAGAUUUAUGGACAAAUUCUAGGCCCAAAUGUUUAAUCUUCCAAAAGUGACAAAACGAGCAGAGCAGUCUAAAGAGGCAAAGGGCAAGUUUAAUAUUUCUUUAUCUUAUCAUCCCUAACUUCUGGAAACUAUACUUGAGGAUAUUGAAAGUGAAACUAAAUGCAAUAGAGGGUUAACUUCUCUAUUUGUGUUGCUCUUUGAUAUGUUUGACUGGAAAUUCUUUACCUUUUAGAAAGUGUAAAUGAACACAUAAACUUAGUAUGAGUUUCAGAUAAUAAAAACCCUUGUAGCCCAACACCCUAAGCUUGGUAUACUGUUUAAGUACCCCCCAAAAAAUCCCCAAAGACAUUGCAACUGAAUUUCUUGUUUCUUCCUGCUCCAGUGCAAUCAGUUCUGUCUGGUGGCAUCUGAAGUGACACAAUAUUUGUAAUGUGAAUGCAAAAGAAUCUCAGUUAUGGGAGAACUGUCUAAAAUUCAUCACAGAUCCCUCAAAUUUGGCUGCUGCACAGCGAGUUGUUCUGUGCAGAAGUCUUCCCAGGCGUGCAGACAGUGUUAACUACAAAAUAUCUUUUUAAUUUUCAAAAUGAAAAAUGCAAAGACAAAGCGUGGUAAUUCGUUCAGCCUUUAGAAAGUCACGAAUCUGCUUACAUUUAGGUCACUAUUUUACAUAUAUGGAAACCUUUUUAGAGGGAAAAAACUUAUUUAUACUUUCUGCUGGAGGGAAAAGUAAAUUGCUGGUAACUUGUUAAAGUUCCAUUAAAAAAUCCUUCACAGCUAUCCAUACUAUGGCUUUCCUGGGUACCUCCCUAGGAGGAGAUUUCUGAGUUCUCUGGUUGGCGUGCUACUGCAAAAAAAGAUUAUGCAGAAAUAUAUUUGCAACUUCAAUUUCUCCGUGUGUGUGCCCUUUGACUCUGUUUGGACUACAGUCACGUAAAUAAGUGUAUCAGUUUCAGCAAUUUUUUCCAGUGGAGAAGCUGAGGUUUCACGAGAACUCUCCACCCAAGCAGAGUUAUGCAGCCACUUCUUUUCACCUCUCUUAUCCCCUGGUUCCCCAAACAAAACUCGUGGCAAUAUAUCAGUAACCCUUCACCUGACUGUUGUGAGCAGUGCUCACAGUGUGCAGGCUCCCCAAAAUGAUAAGACUGUCUGUUCUUUAAGGAUAAGCCUCAGAGGCACCUCAAUUAUUCUUUUGUGUUGUUUAUGAACUGCAGAGAGUGGUUUGGAGGCUGCACCGAGGGUGGUUGAUUCCAUAAUAAUUUGGGAACUUGUGACCUCGUUCAGAAAUGUCCAGUGAGUGAUACAGUGCAGAGUCCAAUUUUAAAGGGUUUGUGAGUUGUUUGAGGGUUAUUUAUUUGGGGGUUUUGUUGUUUUGUUUGGAAAUAUUUAUAUCUGGUGUUCUGCCAGGCUUUCUUUGGAUUACCUUGCUGUACGUUUCCUUAGCAAAGAAGUAGUCUGUGCAUAUCAGGAAAACAUGUUUUUAGUUGGGUUAAGAUUUGAUUUAAUAAAUACUACUAAAAAAUAAUUGUCAGUUGUAAAGAUAAUACUUGAAGAUGCUCCAAUGGAGUCCUGAAACAGUCCUCAUCUUUCUGCUCUCCUGAAUAGGCAUAAAAAUCUCCCACACUUUAAAGAGAAUGCAAGUUAAAAGUUGUUACUUGAUUUUUUUUUAUUAUUUUUAUUUCCUCUAAAGCAGCAUAAAAUUUCCAAUUAAUAUAGAAAGCAGUUAAAUGAAUUCAGAGCUGGGACUGAAGGGAGAAAUGAUUUUGUUUCCUUACUGAAGUCCAGUAAGUUGUUUUUUUGUUUGGUUUUUUGGGGGUUUUUUGGGGGUUUUUUUUAGGUUUUUUGAUUCUUCAGCUGAAUGACUGGAAAUGGGAAAAAUAUUGCCUGUUUCACCAGUGCUGUACAUAUGAAACCAUCUUUUUUUUAAAAAAAAUGUAUGUCCCUUAAUUGCUAAUGCUGAAAGGCUCCACAAAGCUGCAGAAGGCCUUUUGUUAACUGUAGUGAAAGCUGUGGUGGUAAUAAUGCUGGGUGAAAAAAAAAAAAAGUCUUGAUUUAAUACCUCUUAAAGAAAUGACUUUUGGAAGUUGAGCUAAAGAAAUAUCAGAUGUUAAACAAACCCUGUUUGCUUGGCAGCAUGGGAAAUUAGAAAUUCUGCUGUCGCUACCUAGCAGUGGUUGUCAAAAAGCAAAAUACUCGGCUUAAAACCGUGAGUUCCGUUCAGAAACACAAACUGUUUUUCACAACAAGCUCUUUGGUGGAAAUCAAAGCAGAGCUUUGCUCAGGAGCUUGCUUUCAUCUUCCCUCGCAACCUGUCUGUGGUGGCUGGAUGCAGCACAGUCCCAAAGUGCGCGAUAAAACCGAGGUCUUUAUCAAACAGCUGCUAAAUCAAAUAAAACUACCUUGAUGGGUACGAACCCCUUAAGAGUUGCCCAUUAAGAGGGGCGAUGCUGUAUCGCUCCGAUUGAUGGGGCCAUAAAAGCAGGACAAAGAACACUUUGCCGGUGUUAAAUGCCCAUCGUGGCAAUACGUCUCUAAAAUCAGCGCAGAAAAUUGUCCUGUCUCCAAAGCUGCUCGCAGAGCAUCCCCGCUCUGGGUCUGACAAUGGCACUGCUUUUCCUUUUUGCUGAGGAAUUUACUGUGAUACAGAGAUGAGCUCCUGAAACAUGAACUCAGUCGCGAUCCCCUCUCAGUUUUAUUGUCUCUGAGGACACGUUGUUUGUAACCAGCAUCGCUUGUAACGUCACUGCACAGAACUCGCCACACCCCAAUUUAUUGAGCUUCUUUAUGCAACUUUUGAACUGGUUUCAUUUAUUUUUGCAGUCCCUUUGCAGAUUAGAUGCUGAAGAGCAUUAAAAGAGGAAAUUCUCCCCGUCGGUGAAGUGGCAGAUCACCAGCCACCUCCAGGGGAAGCUACAUGGAAAUGUCUGGGAUUGCAAGUGUAGCCUGUCACCUUGUUAGUCUGGUAAGGGGUGAAAUGCUACAUUCACCUUUUUAAAACUAGCAGGAUGUUCCCCUUCACAGGGGAGAAAUGGAAAAAAAAAAAAUAUAAGACCACUUUGAGGGAAUUACAAGUUGGGCAAAUGCUCUACUCUGAAGAGUAGAUCUCCUUGGAUUUUUUUUUUUUUUUUUUUUUUUGAACCAAAAUGUAUAUUAUGAUAAGGAAAUGCUCACAAUUUUGCUAAGUGGUUUGCUUUUUUUUUUUUUUUAAUUUAAGUUAUUUUCUUAAUUUAAGUGAUUUUCUUAAUCUUAAUUUAAAGUGAUCCCUUUAAUUUAAGUGAUUUUCUUGUAGCUGAUCUAAUUUACCUACACUUAAUUUUAUAGAGAAAGUCAAGAUAACCGGUCCUUAUACUCAGCAGUUCCAGCUGGAAGGGGCCAUUCACAAAAUGAUCCAAAAAUCUGAACUUGAAACCUCUAGGACAGAAGGCAAAACCAGCCUGCAAUUCCUGUAACAAAGCUCUAGUUGUCUGGUGUAAUGUGAAUUAUAAGUGCAUGGCGAGCAAACAAAAGCAUUUUACCCCAAUUUUAAAAAAAAAACGUUACAUCUUCGGAUAAUAAUGAUUUAAAAAAAGAAAAGUUUGGAUGAAAUAAAAUCCUGCAGUAGAGCCUGUAAAAUCCCUUGGCAACUGUCAACUUUUGAAGUGUUUCACCUUAGUUUGCACUGAUGGUAAUGAACAUUUAAAUACUUCGGGGUUUUUAUUUAUUUAUUUCAGUCUGACCCACUAGUAUGCUUUUAAGGUCUUAUGCUCUGGGGUAAAAUGUUGUUCUUUACCUGCUCUUGGAGCACACGUUCCUCUUUCCUCACUUUAAAGUGGCCCUGGGACAAAACCUGCUUGCAGUGUGGUGUAUUUUUUUUCCCACAGAUGAUGGGCUGCUGUUAUUCCAGACAUCUCUCAAAUGUUCAGUGGGAUGAUGAGACAAACACCUGUUUGUUUGCACAGGCUGUAUAAUCUGUACCGUUUUUGCAGAUGGUGCCCUUGCACAGUUCUUUGAGGUAAGUGCUAAAUAGCCAUGAAUGACUUGGAAGCAACGCUGGAAAAAAUGUAGACAUUAAAACUCGCAGCAGUUUCUGCUUCCAUCAGAUUUUUAAACCUGUUUGGGCACGGGAGAGCACAGAAAGGGGAGCAUUUCAAGACUGCAAAUGUUCUUGGGGCUUCUAACAUGCCAUUUUUCAGCUAUGAAAGAAGUCUUCUGUAAUACAGAAAUGAAGAGGUUUAUCCAGCAGAAAAUAAGUGUUGUCACUUUAUUUUUUUUUUUUGGCAGGAGGUGGUGGUGGUUCAUCAUUUGGACACAUCAGGUUUGAACUAUUCAGUGGCCAUCACCAACUGUAAAAUGCCAUAAAUGGAACAAUAUCUUGAGAGGAGCUGCACAGAAGCCUUCAGAUGAACCAACUGACACUGUAAUGCCUAAUGUGCAUUCAGGCAUCCAGGAAAAAUAAAACACGUGGCUCUGGCAGCCCACAAGUGAUGCUACUAAUGAUGGAAGAGAACAACCUUUCCAAGGUCAAGUUACCAAGCAUCUGAACUCUGGGAAGCAUUUGUCAUGGCCUGGGAAUUGAUCUGAAACCUGAGCCAUCUUGGAGAAUAAAUCACCACAGAAAGCAUGCAUUAGAAUAUUCCCUAUGGAGCUGAUUUCCUGGAAGCAGACCUAGGUGUAGUAUUGGUAAUGGGACUAGCAGGCUGGAAGGAGGCUUGUGCCUGAAAAAACAGCACCAGAAAGAGCAAUGAAAACAUCAGUGCUUACAGAGGGAGGGAACAAAACUCCUUCUUUCAGCUCAGUGGAAAGCUGGAGUGCUCUUCAGGUGAGUGAUUAUAAAUGGUAAGCACAUGGACCACAUUUUGAAAAUUUUAGUACUAGUACUUGACAUUGCAUAAACAAAAAUAUCAGCUCCAUGAAGACUUUAAAAACAGAGCAAAGAGGAUGAGUAAGUCCUGAGGUUUGCUCCCAUCUUAAGGGCUCCUUGUAUUGCAAAUUCAUAAAGCCAAGCAUAUUUGAUGGUGCUAUAUCAUAAACCCCUUGUCUCUUGGGAAGCUGUGUGUAGUAGUUGUACAAGUAUUGGAUUUAUUCUAGAAAUUCUCUGGGUUCAUAAUUUUUAAUUGCUUUCAUUACUUGUAGCUCAAGGCAAAGGGUGCAAAGAAGCAAUCAGUAAUGUGUCCUCCAGCCCCACGAUGUUGUGCAGUCAAGCCAAUGUCCUACAUAAGCUGAAAGAAAGCAAAGCCCAAUGAUGAAAGCUCUGCCUGGUAUUAACUGGUGAAAACAAAAAAGCUCCUAAUAAAAAAUAGUUGAGAGCUAGCACAGGUCUUCUCCCCUGAGCAGAAUUUAAGGACACAACCUUAAUCCCUGUGGGGUCUGCUCUGGGCCUAUUCAACCAUUUUUGGCUUUCGUGGUUCGUGCUAAUGUGGGCUGGAACAGCUGUAAUGGAUGUAAGGGGCAGGAAAAAACCCUCUUGCUGUAGUGUUCAAUUUUAAAUUAUUUUCAGGCUGAAUGUAGCACACAAUACAAAUCCAAAGGAAAGAGGAGGCUUGGAAGAGAAGGGGGCUGAGACUGAAAGCAACACAGCAUGAGAGGAAUGUGAAGUGCUGUUUUAUAAACCGAGCGUUCCUCCCGCUCCCUCAGUUGAUCUGUAAAUAAAUACAUUGCCUGGAUAUUUUUUCUUUCCAUUUUCCUUUUGCCAUUUGUAUACUUAACUUUAUAAAAACCGUUUCGUUUUGUCUUUCCUUCCAUGUCAACAAAGAGCCCUUGUGAGAGCAGUCAAGUCCCUUUGCCCAGCACACUCUCCGUGCCAAGGUAGGUCCAAAUCCCCAGCAGUUGUCAGGAGUGGGUGCUCACUGUCUGACCAAUAACCAGAGCAAUGGGACAGCUCCUAGCAAUGCAUUAUCAACAGCACCAGAAAGAGCAAUGAAAACAUCAGUGCUUACAGAGGGAGGGACCAAAGCUCCUUCUUUCAGCUCAAUGGAAAGCUGGAGUGCUCUUCAGGUGAGUGAUUAUAAAUGGUAAGCACGUGGAGCUCAUUUUGAAAGUUUUAGUGCUAGUACUUGACAUUGCAUAGCUUGUCAUAAACAAGAGAUGAUCUCUAAGUUUUAUUACACCAGGGCAGCUUUAAAAUCUUCAAAUCAUACACAGCUUUAUCCCACUUUCUCCCUUUUUCAGUAGCUGUUAUGGCUCAGCCAUUCUUCUUUUCCUUGCUCUUACCUGCUCAGACAAGCAAAGAUCUUGUCUGAUCUUUGGAUGAAGCAUCAAACAGGCCAAAAUGCACUGGGCUUUGAAACAAGAGGAGCACUGAAAGAGGAAGAUUCCAGCCAGGCCUUUGUCUGUUGGCUGAUUGGUCUGGUUUUGGAGUUGACAUUUGCAAGCAUAAAAGCAUCAGGGAAAGUAGCAAUGGCAUUUUGAGGACUGUGCUGCAAAAAGGGCCAACUAGAAUCUCUCCUAUUUCCACCUGUUCUUCCCCUCUGUCUUCUUCUCAGUUCCAGCCUCUGUCAUCGCUGCAGCAAUCACUGCAGGAAGGUGAAUAAUUGCUUUAGUGCUGUUGGAGUACAUAAUGUUGCAGUUCAUUGGGAUUUUUAAGUUCCUUUUUUUUUUUUUCUUACUUAUUUUGAGAAUGCUUUGGCUUUUCUUCGAGAAGAGAACUUGGCCUUUUAGGUACCAUAUCUUAAUGUGCUAAACUCCUACAGAACGAUCAGAAAAAUCCCAAUUUAACUUAGACUUGGGGCUCUUUUAAUCCACUGUUUGGUAAGAUUGCUUAGCUUACCACGGCACAGCAGAGCAUCACAAAGAAAAGGGACACUUCUAAAUCAUAACAUACAUGCACACACAUAUAUAUAUAUAAAUGAAAUUGUAAAGUCUCUGAGAAUUUCUGCUGAGAUAGUAGGGGGGGAAAUGUUAUUUUUAUACUAAGAUUAUGUUUUGCAGUGAAUUUCUGGCUAUUCUGAGGUGAUAAUCAGUGCUGAGUAGGUUUCUUUGCCAUAAAAAGAUCCAGUCUAAAGAGACUCUUGAGUGGCAGCCUAGAUAUGAGAAAUGUUAUUUGAAUUACAUACAGUUUAUAUUCCUGCCCAUUUUUAUAGUAUUUUCCAGAGGCUCUUCUUUAGUUUUAGGCCUUCUCCUUGAAAGCACAUGCAAUAAAACUGUUGCUGCUGCCAGCUUGUAUGCCUGAAAGGUCAACUUUUUUUUUUUUUUGUUCUAACUUUAUCAGUUUCUUUAAUAAAAGAUAUUAACUCUCUUCACAGCCUUGUCUCACAGAGAGGAGAAAAAUAUCCCCUGCUCCAAAGAAAAUAUCACUUCUAUUUAAUGAUUAAAACAAAUCAGGGGGAGAGAAGAUAUAAGACAGCUACAGGAAAAUUCUGGUGAGUAGUAAGCUGUAAAAGCUUAGGUUGUGUGGCUGUUCUGAGAGAGGUUUUCAUAGUAGAAUGGAGCAAAAUGGAUCAGAACAUGGUGCAAAAAUUGCCACAGUAAGGCGGCUUUCCAGUAUCUCAGGAGCAGGUGAUGAAGCAAGAGGAGAUGUUGGCUUGGAGUGCAAGGGGAGAGUGGA